GCCUUCGUGGUGUAGUAGUCAGCACGCACGACGUGUAACCGAGAGGUCCGUUGUUCGAUUCCCGGUGAAGGCG
rfam:Stegodyphus mimosarum contig54240, whole genome shotgun sequence.